GUGUAGUUUAGUGGGAAGAGUAUUGGACUAGGGCUUGGGAGACCAGGGUUCAAAUCCCUACUCAGCCA